UUACGGGAGGCAGCAGUGGGGAAUCUUGGACAAUGGGGGCAACCCUGAUCCAGCCAUGCCGCGUGUGUGAUGAAGGUCUUCGGACUGUAAAGCACUUUUGUUUGGGAAGAAAAAAAUGACGGUACCAAACGAAUAAGCACCGGCUAACUCUGUGCCAGCAGCCGCGGUAAUACAGAGGGUGCAAGCGUUAAUCGGAUUUACUGGGCGUAAAGCGUGCGCAGGCGGUUUAAUAAGUUGGAUGUGAAAGACUCGGGCUCAACCCGAGAACGGCAUUCAAAACUGUUGAACUAGAGUAUGGGAGAGGAAAGUAGAAUUUCUGGUGUAGCAGUGAAAUGCGUAGAUAUCAGAAGGAAUGACAGUGGCGAAGGCGACUUUCUGGCCCAAUACUGACGCUCAUGCACGAAAGCGUGGGGAGCAAACGGGAUUAGAUACCCCGGUAC
rnacentral:rRNA from 1 species